UACAGAGGGGGCGUAGCGUUGCUCGGAAUUACUGGGCGUAAAGGGCGCGUAGGCGGACAGUUUAGUCAGAGGUGAAAGCCCAGGGCUCAACCUUGGAAUUGCCUUUGAUACUGGCUGUCUUGAGUUCGGGAGAGGUGAGUGGAAUGCCGAGUGUAGAGGUGAAAUUCGUAGAUAUUCGCAAGAACACCAGUGGCGAAGGCGGCUCACUGGCCCGGUACUGACGCUGAGGUGCGAAAGCGUGGGGAGCAAACAGG
rnacentral:rRNA from 1 species